rnacentral:rRNA from 1 species
ACUUACCAGGUCAAGACAUGGGCGUGAUUGACAGGCUAAUGACUUUUCUCGAUUCCAUGGAUGGUGGUGCAUGGUCGCACUUAGUUGGUGCAGUGAUUUGUCAGGUUUAUUCCGGUAACGAACGAGACCUCGGCCUUGUAAAUAGCUAUGCUGCUUACAGGGACAUUGGCGGCUACGCCAAGGAAGCUCGAGGCAAUUGCAGAUCUGGAAUGCCCUUAGAUGUCCUGGGUCGCACGCGUGCUACAAUGACGCCACGAACGAGCUUGCGUGAUGAAAGUUACGCAUAAUCAGCAGUCGGCGUCUUAAGGGAUAGUCUCUUGUAACUGUGGGACUCCAACUAGGAAUGUCUCGUAAGCACAAGUCAACAUCUUGUGUUGAUUACGUCCCUGCUCUUUGUACACACCGCCCGUCGCUCCUACCGAUCGAGUGUUUAGGUGAAUUUGAUGGACGUAAGGAAGUCAAAUAAACCUGAGCACUAGAGAAGAGAAGUCGACCAUGUU